rnacentral:rRNA from 1 species
AGCGGAUGAGUGGAGCUUGCUCCAUGAUUCAGCGGCGGACGGGUGAGUAAUGCCUAGGAAUCUGCCUGGUAGUGGGGGACAACGUUUCGAAAGGAACGCUAAUACCGCAUACGUCCUACGGGAGAAAGUGGGGGAUCUUCGGACCUCACGCUAUCAGAUGAGCCUAGGUCGGAUUAGCUAGUUGGUGAGGUAAAGGCUCACCAAGGCGACGAUCCGUAACUGGUCUGAGAGGAUGAUCAGUCACACUGGAACUGAGACACGGUCCAGACUCCUACGGGAGGCAGCAGUGGGGAAUAUUGGACAAUGGGCGAAAGCCUGAUCCAGCCAUGCCGCGUGUGUGAAGAAGGUCUUCGGAUUGUAAAGCACUUUAAGUUGGGAGGAAGGGCAGUAAGUUAAUACCUUGCUGUUUUGACGUUACCAACAGAAUAAGCACCGGCUAACUUCGUGCCAGCAGCCGCGGUAAUACGAAGGGUGCAAGCGUUAAUCGGAAUUACUGGGCGUAAAGCGCGCGUAGGUGGUUCGUUAAGUUGGAUGUGAAAGCCCCGGGCUCAACCUGGGAAACUGCAUCCAAAACUGGNNGAGCUAGAGUAUUGGCCAAANGGUGGGUGGAAUUUCCUGUGUAACNGUGNAAUGCGUAANAAUNUNNGGAAAGGGAACNCCNGUUGGCCGAAGGCNACCCCCNUGGGGCCUAAANACUGGAACCUGNANGUGNCGAAAAGCCNUGNGGGGAGCAAANNAGGAUUAANAUCCCC